CACUUGUCUUUUAAAUGGAGACCUGUAUGAAUGGCAUAACGAGGGCUUAACUGUCUCCUUUUUCUGGUCCAUGAAAUUGAUCUUCCCGUGCAGAAGCGGGAAUAGUAUCAUAAGACGAGAAGACCCUGUGGAGCUUUAGACACCAAAACAGCUCCCGUUAAAAAGGCCUAGAUAAAGACCUACAACUUUCAAUUCCCCUGUUUCAAUGUCUUUGGUUGGGGCGACCGCGGAGUACUACCAAACCUCCAUGUGGACCGAAAGAACAUCUUUUAUAACUCCGAGUGACAACUCUAAGUAACAGAAUAUCUGACCAAUAUGAUCCGGCAUAGCCGAUCAACGAACCGAGUUACCCCAGGGAUAACAGCGCAAUCCUCUUUUAGAGCCCA
rnacentral:rRNA from 1 species